rnacentral:rRNA from 1 species
UGGCUGGGGGUGAAAGGCCAAUCAAACCGGGAGAUAGCUGGUUCUCCCCGAAAGCUAUUUAGGUAGCGCCUCGUGAACUCAUCUCCGGGGGUAGAGCACUGUUUCGGCAAGGGGGUCAUCCCGACUUACCAACCCGAUGCAAACUGCGAAUACCGGAGAAUGUUAUCACGGGAGACACACGGCGGGUGCUAACGUCCGUCGUGAAGAGGGAAACAACCCAGACCGCCAGCUAAGGUCCCAAAGUCAUGGUUAAGUGGGAAACGAUGUGGGAAGGCCCAGACAGCCAGGAUGUUGGCUUAGAAGCAGCCAUCAUUUAAAGAAAGCGUAAUAGCUCACUGGUCGAGUCGGCCUGCGCGGAAGAUGUAACGGGGCUAAACCAUGCACCGAAGCUGCGGCAGCGACGCUGAUGCGUUGUUGGGUAGGGGAGCGUUCUGUAAGCCUGUGAAGGUGUACUGUGAGGUAUGCUGGAGGUAUCAGAAGUGCGAAUGCUGACAUAAGUAACGAUAAAGCGGGUGAAAAGCCCGCUCGCCGGAAGACC